AGCAGCCGCGGUAAUUCCAGCUCCAAUAGCGUAUAUUAAAGUUGUUGCAGUUAAAAAGCUCGUAGUUGAAUUUCGGGGUUAGUAGGUUGGUCGUGCCUUUGGUAUGUACUGGUCUCACUGAUUCCUCCUUCUUGAAGAACUGUAAUGUCAUUAAUUUGGUGUUGCAGGGAAACAGGACUGUUACUUUGAAAAAAUUAGAGUGUUUAAAGCAGGCUAACGCCUGAAUACAUUAGCAUGGAAUAAUGAAAUAGGACGUUUGAUCCUAUUUUGUUGGUUUCUAGGAUUGACGUAAUGAUUAAUAGGGAUAGUUGGGGGCAUUAGUAUUCAAUUGUCAGAGGUGAAAUUCUUGGAUUUAUUGAAGACUAACUACUGCGAAAGCAUUUGCCAAGGAUGUUUUCAUUAAUCAAGAACGAAAGUUAGGGAUCGAAGACGAUCAGAUACCGUCGUAGUCUUAACCAUAAACCUAUGCCGACUAGGGAUCGGGAUGAUGUUAAUUUUUANGUACUUCAUUCGCGCUUAC
rnacentral:rRNA from 1 species